rnacentral:rRNA from 1 species
UACGGAGGGUGCAAGCGUUAAUCGGAAUUACUGGGCGUAAAGGGUGCGUAGGCGGUUAAGUAAGUUAUCUGUGAAAUCCCUGGGCUUAACCUAGGUGGGAGAGAUAAGACUGCUUGACUGGAGUGUGGUAGAGGAUAGUGGAAUUUCCGGUGUAGCGGUGAAAUGCGUAGAGAUCGGAAGGAACACCAGUGGCGAAGGCGGCUAUCUGGACCAACACUGACGCUGAGGCACGAAAGCGUGGGGAGCAAACAGG